rnacentral:lncRNA from 1 species
GACAUAAUGAUCAUGGUGGGAACAAUGGAUAUACUAACACAUCAUAUCAAAUCGAAAUAUCAUUUUCAAUUUGGAUCUAAUAACCACAAUCAAGGAAAUUGAACAAUUAAAAUGGAAUUAAAGUCAAGACAUGAAUAUGGAAGAAUUAAUCAAUUUUUAUUCCUAAGCAUGAAUUAAAAGUCAAGAAUUAUGGGGAAAUUCUAAUCAAAAGUUAAUAUGGCUAAUCAAGUAUUUUUUAGGGAGUUUUUUCAUGGUUAACAA